AACGAACGCUGGCGGCAUGCCUAACACAUGCAAGUCGAACGAGACCUUCGGGUCUAGUUGCUCACGGGUGCGUAACGCGUGGGAACCUGCCCUUAUGCUCGGAAUAACUCCCCGAAAGGGGUGCUAAUACCGGAUAAUUUCUUCUGACCAAAGAUUUAUCGCCUUUGUAUGGGCCCGCGUUGCAUUAGCUUGUUGGUAUGGUAUAAGCCUAUCAAGGCUACGAUCCAUAGCUGGUCUGAGAGGAUGAUCAGCCACACUGGGACUGGGACACGGGCCAGACUCCUACGGGAGGCAGCAGUGGGGAACAUUGGACACUGGGCGAAAGCAUGAUCCAGCAAUGCCGCGUGAGUGAUGAAGGCCUUAGGGUUGUAAAGCUCUUUUACCCGGGAUGAUAAUGACAGAACCGGGAGAAUAAGCUCCGGCUAACUCCGU
rnacentral:rRNA from 1 species